rnacentral:misc_RNA from 1 species
UUGAUUGCUUAUUUAUGCCACGACUCAGAAGAUUCCACUGGGAAACAAGAGGUUUGGGUCCCCCGGCGGGCGCCUGGCUCCAGGGCAGCGCACUGCGGCUCCUUGCUCGGGGCAGCACAAUGCGGCCCUGGGGCGAUCCGCCGAAGCAACGUGGUAUGUUCACAAAGGUUGGGAGUUCAGAGACUCGCUAAUGAUCCCUCCGCUGGUUCACCAACGGAGA